rnacentral:rRNA from 1 species
AUUCCAGCUCCAAUAGCGUAUAUUUAAGUUGUUGCAGUUAAAAAGCUCGUAGUUGGAUUUUGGUUAAGAGGGCGCGGUCGGCCGUUUGGUCUGUACUGCGUUGUCUUGACUUCCUGAUGAGGACAUGCUCUUGGUUAACGCUGAGACAUGGAGUCAUCGUGGUUACUUUGAGAAAAUUAGAGUGUUCAAAGCAGGCCUAUGCUCUGAAUAGGUUAGCAUGGAAUAAUAGAAUAGGACUUUGGUUCUAUUUUGUUGGUUUCUAGGACCGAAGUAAUGAUUAAUAGGGACAGUUGGGGGCAUUCAUAUUCCAUUGUCAGAGGUGAGAUUCUUGGAUUAACGGAAGAUGAACUUCUGCGAAAGCAUCUGCCAAGGAUGUUUUCAUUG